UCUUAAUGGCUUUCACCUUAGCUGGAACAGCCUCAAUUCCUCUCUCACUCACGAUGAAAGCUAAGAGCUUGCUCGAAGACAGCCCAACUAGGGGAUGUCGACUUCUUUUUGUUGAAUUGAUUCAGGCGCUUACUUAAAGGUAGGCUCCAAAAGUCGCAAGAUCAUGCCGAGAAAGUCGAAAAGCCACAGGCUGUUCUCCCACCAGAGAAGUUCAUCUAGAGAAAGAGUAGGGAGGAACAAGCUGUCGAUAUUUGUUUAUCUUCCUCUAUCUAUAAAAAAUUAUUAUUUUUUCCAUUGCUGAAUGAUUUUUUAAUUCCAAAAGCAAACAAGUUGAAGUA